rnacentral:rRNA from 1 species
GGUUAAAAAGCUCGUAGUUGGAUCUCAACAGCCUUGAAGCGGUUAACUUUGUAGUUUUACUGCUUUAUAGGCUGUGCUUUUGCUGGAGGUUUAGGGGUGCUCUUGAUCGAGUGUCUCUGGAUGCCAGCAGGUUUACUUUGAAAAAAUUAGAGUGCUCAAAGCAGGCUAAAAUGCCUGAAUAUUCGUGCAUGGAAUAAUAGAAUAGGAUGUCGAUCCUAUUUUGUUGGUUUUCGGGACUCGACAUAAUGAUAAAUAGGGACAGUCGGGGGCAUUUGUAUUCAAACGACAGAGGUGAAAUUCUUGGACCGUUUGAAGACAAACUACUGCGAAAGCAUUUGCCUAGAAUGUUUUCAUUAAUCAAGAACGAAAGUUAGAGGUUCGAAGGCGAUUAGAUACCGCCCUAGUUCUAACCAUAAACGAUGCCAGCUAGCGAUCUGCCUGCGUUUUUACUGUAGACUGGGCAGGAAGCUUCCGGGAAACCAAAGCAUUUGGGUUCCAGGGGAAGUAUGGUUGCAAAGCUGAAACUUAAAGGAAUUGACGGAAGGGCACCACCAGGAGUGGAGCCUGUGGCUUAAUUUGACUCAACACGGGAAAUCUCACCAGGCCCGGACACUGGAAGGAUUGACAGAUUGAUAGCUCUU